rnacentral:rRNA from 1 species
CCUACGGGGGGCAGCAGUGGGGAAUAUUGGGCAAUGGAGGAAACUCUGACCCAGCAACGCCGCGUGAAUGAUGAAGGUCUUCGGAUUGUAAAGUUCUUUUCUAAGGGAAGAAGAAAGUGACGGUACCUUAGGAAUAAGCCUCGGCUAACUACGUGCCAGCAGCCGCGGUAAUACGUAGGAGGCAAGCGUUAUCCGGAAUGACUGGGCGUAAAGGGUGCGGAGGUGGUUUGACAAGUUGGUAGCGUAACUCCGAGGCUUAACCUCGGCACUACUACCAAAACUGUUGGACUCGAGUGCAGGAGGCGCAAGUGGAAUUCGUGGUGUAGCGGUGGAAUGCGUAGAUAUUAGGAAGAACACCAAUGGCGAAGGCGAUUUGCUGGACUGUAACUGACACUGAGGCACGAAGGCGUGGGGAGCGAACAGGAUUAGAUACCCGAGUAGUC